GGUUGUAGCUCAGUAGUAGAGUGCUUGCCUAGCAUGUAUGAGGCACUGGGUUCGAUUCUCAACACCA
rnacentral:tRNA from 1 species